rnacentral:sRNA from 1 species
GAUCUGAUAUUUGCCUAGAAACUUAUUCUCUGGUGGACAACACUGCAGCCAUGACCAUCAGGGGCCAUCAUGAUCCUUUCGCUAACUUACACACACCAUCUCGAGGAUACAAACUAUAUCCCACGUCAAGACCAGGAAGCAACAGCGGCUUUGAUGAUGAGCACUACUACUAGUGCCUCCUGCAAGGCAACUUACAUGAUACAGGAAAUCCGAAGAUCAGAUGAUAAUCUCCCAUAUGCCCCCCAAAACACUCAUUUGGUUGACAAAUCAACCUCUGCGUUGUAACAUAUAGACAUCGUUGAGGGAAUUCAAAUUGGCAGAAGAAAAGGAGAAAUAUAACAUGCGAAGUCUGAGGAUCCUUCAUUUUCUAUGGCUAAGAUUUUUUGAAAUGUGGAAAUAACAGAGCAUGGAAUCAAUUACUGAAAAUUAACGGCGCAUCGAGGGUCGACUACUCGUUCAACGGCUCAAAUACGUAUGCCAUUUAUUACUAUUUGAUUUGUUAGCAGCUUUUGAAGAAAGCCAUCUGGACACGUACAUGUACAGCAAAAUAACAAAACUAUUCGCUGCAAUAUAUGCUGUAAUAAUAUCACGAUAUUCG